CAUGUAUAAGGCAUCAAAACUUUCAUCUGUGUGAUCUAGGUUAACCCUUGAUGCUAGCAAUCAUCACUUAAAGAUAUAAAACAUAAAAUGAAUUAACCGAAACAAUAUUGAUAUAAUAUUCAAAACAUAGCUUGGAUAAUACAUCAUAAUUGAUCUAUAAAAAAGAAAAAAAAACAUCAAACUAAACUAAAAUAAAAUAGAUAUGACAAGAGAAAUAAAA
rnacentral:lncRNA from 1 species